GGCCUCGUAGCUCAGUUGGCCAGAGCGUUAGCUGUACUCAAGCCUUCCCCUGGCUGGUGUGGGUUCGAAUCCAACCAAGGCUG
rnacentral:tRNA from 1 species